UACGGAGGGGGCUAGCGUUGUUCGGAAUUACUGGGCGUAAAGGGCGUGCAGGCGGUUUGUUAAGUGCAGGGUGAAAGCUCCCGGCUCAACUGGGAGAGGUCCUUGCAUACUGGCAAACUCGAGGGAGGCAGAGGAAAGUGGAAUUCCCGGUGUAGUGGUGAUAUGCGUAGAUAUCGGGAGGAACACCUGUGGCGAAGGCGGCUUUCUGGGCCUUACCUGACGCUGAGACGCGAAAGCGUGGGGAGCGAACCGG
rnacentral:rRNA from 1 species